rnacentral:rRNA from 1 species
AGCGAACGCUGGCGGCAGGCUUAACACAUGCAAGUCGAACGGGCAUGGCAAUAUGUCAGUGGCAGACGGGUGAGUAACGCGUGGGAACGUACCUUUUGGUUCGGAACAACACAGGGAAACUUGUGCUAAUACCGGAUAAGCCCUUACGGGGAAAGAUUUAUCGCCGAAAGAUCGGCCCGCGUCUGAUUAGCUAGUUGGUAGGGUAAUGGCCUACCAAGGCGACGAUCAGUAGCUGGUCUGAGAGGAUGAUCAGCCACAUUGGGACUGAGACACGGCCCAAACUCCUACGGGAGGCAGCAGUGGGGAAUAUUGGGCAAUGGGCGAAAGCCUGAUCCAGCCAUGCCGCGUGAGUGAUGAAGGCCCUAGGGUUGUAAAGCUCUUUUGUGCGGGAAGAUAAUGACGGUACCGCAAGAAUAAGCCCCGGCUAACUUCGUG